rnacentral:rRNA from 1 species
AUGGCAUCUCAGGAUUCCAAGCCCGCGCAAGUCCCGGCCGCCGCCGAGCUGACGGCCCCGGCGGCUGCCGCCGCAGGGGAGGCGCCGAAUCCCACUUCCCCGACAGCGGCCCAAAACCCUAGCGCCGCCGCCGCCGGUGGGGCAGCCACGGAUCUAGAGAAGAAGAUGCGCCGCGCGGAGAGGUUUGGGACGCAGGUGGUUAUGUCCGAGGACGAGAAGCGAAGCAGCCGCGCCGAGAGGUUUGGGACUGGAUCUUCUAAUGAAAAGAUGGAGGAACAGAAGAAGAAGUCCAGGGCUGAGAGGUUUGGCCUUCCCACGCCCUCCUCUGAUGAUACCGAGGCUAAGAAAAAAGCCCGCUUAGAGCGAUUUGGUCAGAGCACAGAAGUUGGCAAGGCGGAAGAAGAGAAGCGAAAGGCACGGGCCCUUAGGUUUGCCGGAGCAGCACCUAGUGGGUCAUCUGAAGGAAAGGACAAAGACACCUCCAAGCCGGACGCGGCUACCGUAGCUGGCACGGCAUGA